AAUAGGGGGUCCUGUUCAAGCUGGCACAGAAGGUGGAUUUCGAGGACCUAGAAAGGGUGGAAUUGACCGGAGGGAAUUGUCGCAACAAUGGCCGACAGACUGGUGACUAUUCCCUCACCCUCAAAUCGCCGUUGUUGUUGUUUUAGCAGUUCCCAAUUUGGCUGCUUACUGUGACAGAAACCACACUAAAAAGCACGGACGGGCUCGAGGGCUGCCUUGACUAGCAUCAAAUACCCAGCCCUGUGACCGCAAAAAGAAACGUCACCGCCAGUGAGCAUGCGGGAGUGAGAGCGUCAGCGAGUGACGUAUGUGGGGUUGUACGGUACGAUUGCCGGUACUGUACUGGUGCUGUGCGAUAUCGUAUAGUGUCAGCCAGACAAGACUACUGUAUGUAGAUAACAGUUAUUGUCCAUAG
rnacentral:misc_RNA from 1 species